GUCCUGUGGAAGAAUUUAUGGGAAAUAUAUGACAAGUAGAGGUUGAUGAGAACAUGAAGAGAUACAUUUUUCUGCAGUUGUGGCUUGAAGAGAUCUGAAAGACAUUUUAGUGAUCGCUGCUGUGAUGGUCCGCUCUGGCAUACACUGCACCUUUGAAGUUGGGUCUGAUGCGUGCAUCGUAUCCUGACGUUUUCCCCAUGAGCUUGUCCAGGAAGUCGGAAGGUGAAAGCUGUGGUCCGGCCCCUCUGGUGGGCUUUAUCUCCUCCUUACAGGAGCUCAAUCUGAAAGAAACAACAAGAUGAAAACCAAAGAACCUUCCCUGAUGGGUUUUUAAGGCUCCUUGUCCUGUGAUCUGUUUUCUGAACGAGCUUCAAGGUUUCGUUCCUCAUCUCUCACCAUGAGUCUCCCUGCCUUCUCAGUUUCUGACCCUGGCUUGGGUGAAGUUUUUUUGGAGAACCUUACUUCUGUUGUCACCUGCCUGUCCACCCUCCUACGUGGGAACGCUUAAACUGAGUCAUCACCUGAGAGUUAAAGGAAAGAAAGGAAACUGCCAUCUACCACACUCAUCCUGCCAACCUCCAUCUCACCCCUGACAAAUUGGCCGGCUGUGGAUCCUGUGUUUUGCCUGUUCCGCUCUUGAUUCUAAAUAAACCUGACG